rnacentral:misc_RNA from 1 species
UCCGAGUUGACCCCGGCAGUCUCCCAUGAGUCCCCGCCAUUACGCGCUGGCAACAUGGAACGAGGGUUGCGCUCGUUGCGGGACUUAACCCAACAUCUCACGACACGAGCUGACGACAGCCAUGCACCACCUGUACACCAACCACAAGGGAAACCCCAUCUCUGGAGCUGUCUAGUGCAUGUCAAACCCAGGUAAGGUUCUUCGCGUUGCAUCGAAUUAAUCCACAUGCUCCGCCGCUUGUGCGGGUCCCCGUCAAUUCCUUUGAGUUUUAGCCUUGCGGCCGUACUCCCCAGGCGGGGCGCUUAAUGCGUUAGCUGCGGCACAGAGAACCGGAGAGGCCCCCCACACCUAGCGCCCAACGUUUACAGCGUGGACUAC